GGUCUGUAUUAAGGCAAAGGCCUGAAGAAGAGACCUAUGUGGUUGCAGACCUGAAAAAGGACACCUCUGGCUUGGCACCUGUUUUGCUACAACAUGUUAUAGAAGGACGGGAUUCCCCUGGGUCCUAAAGCAUGGUCUAUCCCCAAUAUUGCGGUCUAAAGAACAGAAAAAGCAUUUGCAGCUGGUUACCUAUUCUUGAGACUGGAAAGGCAGCAGAAUUAAAUCUGUGCACGAUUUGCUGAAAUUUAUUCCACUGUCCUUUCUGCCCAAGGGAUAUCUUUAAACCCAGCCCAGAUCACAUGGUGAUUUCAAGACUUCCAAAUAUGUAUAUGCCACAUGGGAUGUAAGACAUGAGGGCAUUUCCAUUGUCCGUAUUGCAUACAGACAGUUUCAGAGAGGUCACAACUUGUUUUUCAUUUCUCUGCAGCAAAAAAAAAGUACAAUAGAGACCCGGGCUGACACUCCAGAAAAAACCCCAGUAGCUGCAAGUGCUGCUGGUUCUGUCCAGGGUGAGAUCAAUAGGACCCCUGUCCACAUUCCACGGUUCUAAUGCAAUGUGUUAAGAGAAAUCCAAAGACAGCAUUCUGAAUCACAAUUGAGAGACAUCACACAGGAGUCUCGUUUAUCAAGACAGUGCCUCGAUUCUGUCCAGAGUGUACAUGCUGUCUCAGAAUCUUUCAGAGGUCCACCAGUACCCAUUCAUGUCAAAAAGAAAAUCCAGGGUGACAAACAUGAAGUUAGCUGUCAGUUACUGGAUGACACCAGUGGGUGUUAGCUCAGGUAAAUGUGUCAAGCUGCUGCAACUCAACACUGUUGUGAAUUAAGGUGUCAUGCACUUUACAGACACUUAAAAGAAAUCCAUUUGCAAUACUCCAAACUACAGAUUGAAUCGGAAUUAUACCAUUGAAUUACUUUUGUUCUCUAACAGUAUGUGAAGUCUUCAUACAAAAUAGCAAAUGGUGUAAUUAUAAAUAAUUAUGAGCCUGGGGAAAUGUGUGAAUAUGUGAUUAUUUAAUUUGCAUAUAAAUUGAUUUUGGUGGGCUAGUCAGUGUAUAUUGCACCUUGCACCCAUAUUUUGAGCUAGGAGCAACCGUCUAAUUCUGUAAUGGUUUUUCACAUUACAUUCAAAAUGUAGGAUUCUGCAUAUUUGAAUUGCUUACAUUCAUUUCUUGGUAGUUUAAAUAUUUUUGGGGAGAAAAGCUUACAAACAUGCACUAGGAUGCAUGUAGGUAAGUGUGCUAAUAUACUUUUUAAAUUGAAUGAUUUUUCAGGAUCGCUCCUCAGAGGAAAAUGUGUUUCCUACUACCAGGUCACAUUUGCUUGUGGUAAUACAAAUGCAAUUUUAAAUCCUUCACUACGUGGUGUAUAACUAUUGACAAACAUAAUUGCUUGCUUGUUUUUGCACAGCUUCCCCAGUCCUUAUUAGAGGACAUACUAAUGGAGGAUAUGCCGAGCCAGGGAGACACUGUCUAUCUCAAGCUCUCGCUGGUGUGCAGAUCACUCAGAUUGAUUGUGGUGCUGAGCCAAGGAGACGCUGUCUAUCUCAAGCUCUCGCUGGUGUGCAGAUCACUCAGAUUGAUUGUGGUGCUGAGCCAAGGAGACGCUGUCUAUCUCAAGCUCUCGCUGGUGUGCAGAUCACUCAGAUUGAUUGUGGUGCUGAGCCAAGGAGACACUGUCUAUCUCAAGCUCUCGCUGGUGUGCAGAUCACUGUGAUUGUAAUCACAAUCAUUGUAAUUCUGGAUAAAGUGUCACUUUGCCUGGCUAGAUAGUAGAUUUACAGAUUUAAAAAAAAAAAAAACUAAAAAAAAACUUUGCAAUGGAAUAAAUAUCACUGUGAUUGCUGUUGAGAUUUUGUAAUGAGAAUGUUUUCAAGCAUGUAUAGUAAAACUAUUUUUAAACUAGGUGUCAUGAAUUGGAAUAGAUUUCAUAUGGACUUCAACAAAGAAUAUGAGAUCACAGAUGUCUGGAGAGUGGCACCUUAUUUAAGGAGUACAGUGCUGGAUUUGCUGGCAAUGGACAAAAAGGCAUCAUGAAAUGGUUUUAUAGUGAAAGUGAGCACCCUGGGGUUUGUUCUCAGUUUUGUGCCAUGCAAAGUUAGAAGGUUUUAUGUUUAAAAAUAAUAAUAAUAAUAAAAACAUCUGUAAAUAGUUAUUUCUCAUUUCUUUUUUCAUUAUUUUUUUUUAUAAUCUUUUUUUUUCAAUUUCUUCUCUUAGUGUUUGCACCUUAAGUAUGUAGCUUCUGUUUGUUGCUGUCUUAUGAUUUUGUAAAUGAGUUAUUGCUGUGUUCUUGCUGCGUAGAUAAGGGUUGUGAAGGUUUACAAUAAAAGCUCAAUUUAGGAAAGACAUUUCAUGAAAGCAUAUUUCU